UACGUAGGGGGCUAGCGUUGUCCGGAAUCAUUGGGCGUAAAGAGCGUGUAGGCGGCCCGGUAAGUCCGCUGUGAAAGUCGGGGGCUCAACCCUCGAAUGCCGGUGGAUACUGUCGGGCUCGAGUGCGGAAGAGGCGAGUGGAAUUCCUGGUGUAGCGGUGAAAUGCGUAGAUAUCGUAAGGAAGACCAGUGGCGAAGGCGGGUCUCUGGACAGUUCCUGACGCUGAGGCACGAAGGCCAGGGGAGCAAACGGG
rnacentral:rRNA from 1 species